rfam:Canis lupus familiaris chromosome X, whole genome shotgun sequence.
CCUCAGGCUUCCUGGGACACUAACAGAGCAACUGCGCCCGGGGAGAGUGCGCCGAGCUCCCUAAAGGGCUGCAGCGCAUGGCGGGGCCUGGGAGCAGCU